rnacentral:rRNA from 1 species
UACGAAGGUGGCGAGCGUUGUUCGGAAUCACUGGGCUUAAAGCGUGUGUAGGCGGAUUUGUAAGUACCUUGUGAAAUCCCAUGGCUCAACCAUGGAACUGCUCGGUAUACUGCGAAUCUUGAGCCACUUAGGGGCUACCGGAACAAAUGGUGGAGCGGUGAAAUGCGUAGAUAUCAUUUGGAACGCCAAUGGUGAAACCAGGUAGCUGGGAGUGUGCUGACGCUGAGACACGAAAGCCAGGGGAGCGAACGGG